UUCGAUUCUGGCUCAGGACGAACGCUGGCGGCGUGCUUAACACAUGCAAGUCGAACGGGGAUAGCGACGGAAGCCUUUCGGGGUGGAAGGUGCUAUUCGAGUGGCGGACGGGUGAGUAACGCGUGAGCAACCUGUCCCAGACAGGGGAAUAACACUUGGAAACAGGUGCUAAUACCGCAUAAGACCACGGGAUCACAUGGUUCUGGGGUAAAAGGAGCAAUCCGGUUUGGGGUGGGCUCGCGUCCGAUUAGAUAGUUGGUGAGGUAACGGCCCACCAAGUCGACGAUCGGUAGCCGAUCUGAGAGGAUGACCGGCCACAUUGGAACUGAGAGACGGUCCAAACUCCUACGGGAGGCAGCAGUGGGGAAUAUUGGGCAAUGGCGAAAGCCCUGACCCAGCAACGCCGCGUGAGUGAAGAAGGCUUUCGGGUUGUAAAGCUCUGUUAUAGGGGACGAAGGAAGUGACGGUACCCUAUAAGGAAGCCCCGGCUAACUACGUGCCAGCAGCUGC
rnacentral:rRNA from 1 species